rnacentral:rRNA from 1 species
GAUGAACGCUGGCGGCGUGCCUAAUACAUGCAAGUCGAGCGAACGGACGAGAAGCUUGCUUCUCUGAUGUUAGCGGCGGACGGGUGAGUAACACGUGGAUAACCUACCUAUAAGACUGGGAUAACUUCGGGAAACCGGAACUAAUACCGGAUGAUAUUUUGAACCGCAUGGUUCAAAAGUGAAAGACGGUCUUGCUGUCACUUAUAGAUGGAUCCGCGCUGCAUUAGCUAGUUGGUAAGGUAACGGCUUACCAAGGCAACGAUGCAUAGCCGACCUGAGAGGGUGAUCGGCCACACUGGAACUGAGACACGGUCCAGACUCCUACGGGAGGCAGCAGUAGGGAAUCUUCCGCAAUGGGCGAAAGCCUGACGGAGCAACGCCGCGUGAGUGAUGAAGGUCUUCGGAUCGUAAAGCUCUGUUAUUAGGGAAGAACAUAUGUGUAAGUAACUGUGCACAUCUUGACGGUACCUAAUCAGAAAGCCACGGCUAACUACGUG